GCAGCAUAUCUGGCAAGUAAGUCCAACACACAAGUAUCUAUAAUUGUGAUCUGGGCCGCUGUCACCAUACUCUCUAUAAAAUGUAUGACAUAGAUGGCACAAUCAGGCCUAUAAAAUAUUUCAUGCUCAUAGUCAAUAAAACAAACAAAUGACAUACUAGAUUAGUUGGCACAAAUGUGUGUUGGCACAUAUAGGAUUGAAAAUUGGAAACAUAAUUUUUUCUAGUAAUAUAAGGGGCACAAUGC
rnacentral:lncRNA from 1 species